rnacentral:rRNA from 1 species
UACAGAGGGUGCGAGCGUUAAUCGGAAUUACUGGGCGUAAAGCGCGCGUAGGCGGUUUUGCAAGUCGAGUGUGAAAUCCCCAGGCUUAACCUGGGAACUGCAUUCGAGACUGCAUAGCUAGAGUAUGGGAGAGGGAAGUGGAAUUUCAGGUGUAGCGGUGAAAUGCGUAGAUAUUCGGAGGAACACCAGAGGCGAAAGCGGCGCACUGGACGGCUAACUGACACUCAACUGCGAAAGCGUGGGGAGCAAACAGG